AAUGUGUAACCCCUGUUCACCUAGCAGUAAAUAGGUGGUGGUGGCGGAGUCACAGCUGGUGGUCGGCGUCGUUUGGUCUGUGUGCAGCGAGGACAAAACAACGUGUACACGGAAGGAAUGGGUUACUGAUAAAGUCUUCAUGGAGUUUAUUUAUUAUUUUAUUGAUUUGUAUAUAGGUUUCACCAUAUUUUUACUUUCACAUUUCCUUAUCACAAGUGAACAUAAUGAAUUAAAGUAGCAGUAAACAGUAAGAUAAAGAUACACGAAUGUUGACGCUAAUUCUUAUUGCAGGUGACGUAUGGAAAAACUGGAGGAUGGAUGGAUCGCCACGUGCUCCUCCCAACAGUGCGUCAACAAUCAGAACCUACCUCCGCAAGGCUACCGGGACGCUGUUUGUUGCUCCUCCUGGACGUGGAUCGGAAGUGAGAAGACUCAGGCAGCAAGCCCUGUUGAAGCUUCGUCUUCUGCAGUGGUCGUGAAAUUCUUGCCAUGUCGCAGCUGUUCCCUGUGAUUCUCCACGCUCGGUGCCAGGCGGCCUCAGCCCAACUAGCCGCCAUACAGACUGGGAGGAAACCCAUGUAAUGAAGGCAGCUCCUUACCUCCCCACACCCGGCGAGCGAAUGGCUCAGUCUUACACCGAUGAAAGAUUUAAAAAAAAAC
rnacentral:misc_RNA from 1 species